rnacentral:rRNA from 1 species
CACGUAGUUAGCCGGGGCUUUCUUCUCAGGUACCGUCACUCUGAGUGCAGUUACUCACUCAGACGUUCUUCCCUGGCAACAGAGCUUUACGAUCCGAAAACCUUCAUCACUCACGCGGCGUUGCUCCGUCAGACUUGCGUCCAUUGCGGAAGAUUCCCUACUGCUGCCUCCCGUAGGAGUCUGGGCCGUGUCUCAGUCCCAGUGUGGCCGAUCACCCUCUCAGGUCGGCUACGCAUCGUCGCCUUGGUGAGCCGUUACCUCACCAACUAGCUAAUGCGCCGCAGGCCCAUCCUCAAGUGACAGAUUGCUCCGUCUUUCCAAAUUCGUUCAGGCGAACAAAUCAUGUAUUCGGUAUUAGCUACCGUUUCCGGUAGUUGUCCCAAGCUUGAGGGCAGGUUGCCUACGUGUUACUCACCCGUCCGCCGCUAAGUAUCAAAGAAGCAAGCUUCUUUGAUACUCCGCUCGACUUGCAUGUAUUAGGCACGCCGCC